GGAGGUUGGACACUUUUUAGCUGCAUUUCCCAAACAAGAAAAAUUAAGCGUUCCUUUCUUCAUUCCCCAUAUCACAUUUGGCAGCUUUGGUGCCAUUACUCAGAAAACCAACUGUGUGGAGUGGUUUGAAUUUUGAAUGUUCCAAAAUUGGAAGUGAAGAUAAAAGAAUGGCAAACUCCACAACUGCUCAACCAAACUCCGAAAAAUAUGAGUUGAAUGGAUAUGAAAAUAAAGUAACUUACUUCACUUCAACACAAUCAAGGGAUUUUCUUGUGGUAUUCUUCUAGCUUAUACAUUUGCUUUUGCUUCAUUACCCGUUAUUGUUGCCACUCAAGUUCAAAUCCAACUUCGAUACCAACAACAACAACAAAACACUGAUUACGUUUUAAUUAUUUAUUUUAAAAAUUAUUAUCAACGUCGACGUGUCAAUAUCGGUGUCGUGCUUAUUAUAUAUAGGAAGCAACUGGUAUAGAAUAAGAAACUUUGAAUUCUUUAUUAUGUGAAAAUUAUGAUAUAUAUUCUUUAUUUUCUUUCUUUUGAUGUUUGAUCCAGUGCAAAUUUUUAAGUUUCAGUAAUGUAAAUCAAUAAGUUUCAGUAAUGUGUUCAAACAUGGAUGAAUUCAAAGGACAGGCUCGUCUUCCUAAUUUCGUUGUUCCAAAACGUUACGACAUUAAGCUUAAACCCGACCUCAUCGAAUGUCGUUUCUGCGGUUCUGUUGUCUUCAAUCUCGACAUCAUCACCGCUACUCAUUUCAUCGUUCUCAAUGCCGCUGAACUCACCAUCGGUAACGACGCUGUUUCAUUCACUAACUGUCAUUUCUCUAAGGGACUACUCUCAUUUCUCAACUCUUUUUGGUCAACUUAAGUUUUUUCUGUUACCAUAAUUUUUUUUCUGAUUUAGGAUUGAUGAAUGUCUAUGUUGUAGGUUUUCAAACCUUCAAAAGUUGAAUUAUUUGAAGAUGAUGAAAUUCUCGUCUUGGAGUUUCCAGAGGGAAUAUCUAUUGGAUUGGGUUGGGUGUAUUGACAAUUCAGUUUGAUGGAAUAUUGAAUGAUAGAAUGAAAGGUUUUUACCGAAGCUACAUUUUGGAAGGUAGAGAGUUGGAAUUUUACAUGAAAAGGCUUCAUAAGAAAAAGAGAAAGGGUGCUGCUUGAUAACUUUCCAAAUUAUUAUUUUACCUUAUUUUACAUGAAUUUUAUUUGUCCUAUUUAUUUUAAAAGUUAAAUGAUAGUACUAUCUCUGAGCCAGCUGGUUGAACCAAAAAAUUCUUUUCU